UACGGAGGGGGCUAGCGUUGUUCGGAAUUACUGGGCGUAAAGCGCCCGUAGGCGGCUUUGUAAGUUAGAGGUGAAAGCCCGGGGCUCAACUCCGGAAUUGCCUUUAAGACUGCAUCGCUAGAAUGUCGGAGAGGUAAGUGGAAUUCCGAGUGUAGAGGUGAAAUUCGUAGAUAUUGGGAAGAACACCGGUGGCGAAGGCGGCGACCUGGUUCAUAACUGACGCUGAGGCGCGAAAGCGUGGGGAGCAAACAGG
rnacentral:rRNA from 1 species